UAUAUCGCUGUCUCAGCUCGUUAAUAUCCUCGGUAUCAAUUUAAAAUCAUGUUUUUCUAUUGUAGUUUAUCCAAUUACGUAUGAAAACACUAAUUAUAUAAUAAUUCUCUGCUUAUUUUUUAAGUGCCUCUAGGAUAUAGGUCUUAGGAGAGGCAAAAUCUCCACUUUUUGGUCGGUUUUUCGGAUAUAUCCUUGUCUCAGUUCCUUAAUAUCCUCGGUAUCAAUUUAAAAUUAUGUUUUUCUAUUGUAGUUUAUCCAAUUACGUAUGAAAACACUAAUUUUAUAAUAAUUCUCUGCUUAUUUUUAAAGUGCGUCCAGGAUAUAAGUCUUAGGAGAGGCAAAAUCUCCACUUUUUGGUCGGUUUUUCGGAUAUAUCCUUGUCUCAGUUCCUUAAUAUCCUCGGUAUCAAUUUAAAAUUAUGUUUUUCUAUUGUAGUUUAUCCAAUUACGUAUGAAAACACUAAUUUUAUAAUAAU